CCUACGGGUGGCAGCAGUAGGGAAUAUUGCUCAAUGGGGGAAACCCUGAAGCAGCAACGCCGCGUGGAGGAUGAAGGUUUUCGGAUUGUAAACUCCUUUUGUUAGAGAAGAUAAUGACGGUAUCUAACGGAUAAGCACCGGCUAACUCCGUGCCAGCAGCCGCGGUCAUACGGAGGGUGCAAGCGUUACUCGGAAUCACUGGGCGUAAAGAGCGCGUAGGCGGGAUAGCAAGUCAGAUGUGAAAUCCUAUGGCUUAACCAUAGAACUGCAGUUGAAACUGUUAUUCUAGAGUAUGGGAGAGGUAGGUGGAAUUCUUGGUGUAGGGGUAAAAUCCGUAGAGAUCAAGAGGAAUACGCAUUGCGAAGGCGACCUGCUAGAACAUAACUGACGCUGAUGCGCGAAAGCGUGGGGAGCAAACAGGAUUAGAUACCCUGGUAGUC
rnacentral:rRNA from 1 species